CCUACGGGAGGCAGCAGUGGGGAAUAUUGCACAAUGGGGGAAACCCUGAUGCAGCGACGCCGCGUGAGUGAAGAAGUAUUUCGGUAUGUAAAGCUCUAUCAGCAGGGAAGAAAAAAGACGGUACCUGACUAAGAAGCCCCGGCUAACUACGUGCCAGCAGCCGCGGUAAUACGUAGGGGGCAAGCGUUAUCCGGAAUUACUGGGUGGAAAGGGUGCGUAGGUGGCAUGGUAAGUCAGAAGUGAAAGCCCGGGGCUUAACCCCGGGACUGCUUUUGAAACUGUCAUGCUGGAGUGCAGGAGAGGUAAGCGGAAUUCCUGGUGUAGCGGUGAAAUGCGUAGAUAUUAGGAGGAACACCAGUGGCGAAGGCGGCUUACUGGACUGUCACUGACACGGAUGCACGAAAGCGUGGGGAGCAAACAGGAUUAGAUACCCUUGUAGUC
rnacentral:rRNA from 1 species